UAAAGUGUUCAGCAGGCAGAUCCAAUUUUCUGCCACCGAAUACAUUAGCAUGGGAUAAUGGAAUAGGACCCUGUCCUCCUAUUUUCAGUUGGUUUGCCGCGAGGACCAGGGUAAUGAUUAAUAGGGAUAGUUGGGGGCAUUAAUAUUUAAUUGUCAGAGGUGAAAUUCUUGGAUUUAUGAAAGAUUAACUUCUGCGAAAGCAUCUGCCAAGGAUGUUUUCAUUAAUCAAGAACGAAAGUUAGGGGAUCGAAGACGAUCAGAUACCGCCGUAGUCUUAACCAUAAACGAUGCCGACCAGCGAUUAGGAGACGUUGAAUACAAAACACCACCAUGCGAUUUGCGUUCUCUUUUGGGGGUGCUUAACAAGGGGGGGUCAUGCGGAUUGCUUCGCUUGGAAGCGACCAAUGAAUCCCCCCCCAACCAGCUUGAGAAAAAAAAUU
rnacentral:rRNA from 2 species